rnacentral:rRNA from 1 species
AGAGUUUGAUCAUGGCUCAGGACGAACGCUGGCGGCGUGCUUAAGACAUGCAAGUCGCACGGACCCGCAAGGGUCAGUGGCGGACGGGUGAGUAACGCGUGGAUAACCUGCCCGAUUCCCCGGGAUAACAGGCCGAAAGGCCUGCUAAUACCGGGUAAGCUCACGGUGCCGCAUGGCACUGGGAGAAAAGCUCCUGCAAGGGAGUGGGAUUGGAGGGGUCCGCGGUCCAUUAGCUAGUUGGGGGGGUAACGGCCCACCAAGGCGACGAUGGAUAGCCGGCCUGAGAGGGCGACCGGCCACACUGGGACUGAGACACGGCCCAGACUCCUACGGGAGGCAGCAGUCGGGAAUUUUGGGCAAUGGCCGCAAGGGCUGACCCAGCAACGCCGCGUGGGUGAAGAAGGCCUUCGGGUCGUAAAGCCCUUUCGGACGGGACGAACGUCAUGCGGGGAAACUCGUGUGGCUUGACGGUACCGUAAGAAGAAGCACCGGCUAACCCCGUGCCAGCAGCCGCGGUAAUACGGGGGGUGCAAGCGUUGUUCGGAAUUACUGGGCGUAAAGCGCGUGUAGGCGGCCCUGCAAGUCAGAUGUGAAAGCCCUCGGCUUAACCGGGGAAGUGCAUCUGAAACUGCUUGGCUUGAGUACUGGAGAGGAAGGCGGAAUUCCCAGUGUAGAGGUGAAAUUCGUAGAUAUUGGGAGGAACACCGGUGGCGAAAGCGGCCUUCUGGGCAGAUACUGACGCUGAGACGCGAAAGCGUGGGGAGCAAACAGGAUUAGAUACCCUGGUAGUCCACGCUGUAAACGAUGGGCACUAGGUGUGGGGGGUAUCCACUCCUCCCGUGCCGCAGCUAACGCAUUAAGUGCCCCGCCUGGGGAGUACGGCCGCAAGGUUAAAACUCAAAUGAAUUGACGG